GUGGGGGCUUUCCACGAGGCUCACCUGAGCAGAAGUUGUUUGCAGGCAUGAGAAAUCACAGUGAGAGCAACGCUUUUUCACCAUAUGUUAAUGUGAAGAGUGAACAGUAAAUGGUUAAUCUUACUGCGAUCUGGUUCUCAUUGACUGUGGUUUAUCUCGACGUUGAAUUCGACGUUAUCAGUUACACGCGAAGGAGAACGUUACAACCAUUAUGCUAUCAAUACAGAACAGAUCCCUUGAAGAUGGCCUGCAGUAAACCUGCAAUUCCAAAUGGCUUCAAGAAACACUGGGGAAAACUGUUCUACUGAAACAACCUACAAAUAUACAUCAAUUUGCCUUUAUCUAUUUCAAGGAACUACUGGAGUUUAGAGCUGGUCUGUAAAUGAAGUGCAGGAUAUGAAAUCUUUAUCAAAACCUUCCCAAGGUGUUCUGAAAAUGAUGUUUCGCCACCAUCAGCUUACUGCAGUUGCAAACAGACAUCAAACUUAGUGGAUGCAUAAAUGUUAGUUUCAGAAACCCAGCAGGAAUUGCUUCAUGACUGAAGUUUUUUACACGUUAUUUGACCGGCUUGGCAAUCUGGAAUUCUGAGUUCAGCAUCUGAUAAACCGCCUUGAAGAUCUGACUGUUACUGUGAAUGAAAUACAUUCUGUAAUGAACAUCACUAAAACAGUUGAUUACAAGAAGAUAAUCUCAAGGUUGUAUACUGUAAUGCUUUGAGAAAAGUGGGAUAGAAACAGUCUUUGAACCUGGUGAUGCACAAGCUGAAUCCCACCACAGUGGUUCAAGGAAAUUUAAACUCCACAGGCCAGUUAUGCUCCCAUAUUGCCUCACGUGAAACCUGCCAGAGGUAGCUGAGGAGUUUUAUGCCUAGGCAUGUAUAGGUUUCAAUAAUCAUUCAACAGCUGGAGAAGACAGCGACAAGCACAAGUUUG